CCUCACUGUCACAGGUGCCAUACCCCCUGAGCACCCCUCCCUCACUGUCACAGGUGCCAUACCCCCUGAGCACCCCUCCCUCACUGUCACAGGUGCCACAACCCCUGAGCACCCCUCCCUCACUGUCACAGGUGCCAUACCCCCUGAGCACCCCUCCCUCACUGUCACAGGUGCCACAACCCCUGAGCACCCCUCCCUCACUGUCACAGGUGCCACAACCCCUGAGCACCCCUCCCUCACUGUCACAGGUGCCAUACCCCCUGAGCACCCCUCCCUCACUGUCACAGGUGCCACAACCCCUGAG